rnacentral:rRNA from 1 species
UGGGGGAUAUUGCACAAUGGGGGAAACCCUGAUGCAGCAACGCCGCGUGAGGUAUGAAGGCCUUUGGGUUGUAAGCCUCUGUCCUAGGGGAAGAAAAAAAUGACGGUACCCGAGGAGGAAGCCCCGGCCAACUACGUGCCAGCAGCCGCGGUAAUACGUAGGGGGCAAGCGUUAUCCGGAAUUAUUGGGCGUAAAGAGUGCGUAGGUGGUCUACUAAGCGCGAGGUGAAAGGCAAUGGCUCAACCAUUGUUAGCCUUGCGAACUGGCAGACUUGAGUGCAAGAGAGGAAAGCGGAAUUCCUAGUGUAGCGGUGAAAUGCGCAGAUAUUAGGAGGAACACCGGCGGCGAAGGCGGCUUUCUGGAUUGUAACUGACACUGAGGCACGAAAGCGUGGGUAGCAAACAGGAUUAGAUACCCUGGUAGUCCACGCCGUAAACGAUGAGCACUAGGUGUCGGGACAUGAGUCUCGGUGCCGCAGUUAACGCAAUAAGUGCUCCGCCUGGGGAGUACGCACGCAAGUGUA